rnacentral:rRNA from 1 species
CCUACGGGAGGCAGCAGUGGGGAAUAUUGCACAAUGGGGGAAACCCUGAUGCAGCGACGACGCGUGAGUGAAGAAGUAUCUCGGUACGUAAAGCUCUAUCAGCAGGGAAGAAAAUGACGGUACCUGACUAAGAAGCCCCGGCUAACUACGUGCCAGCAGCGUCGGUAAUACGUAGGGGGCAAUCGUUCUCCGGAUUUACUGGGUGUAAAGGCAGAGGAGACGGCAGCACAAGUCUGGAGUGAAAUCCCGGGGCUUAACCCCGGAACUGCUUUGGAAACUGUGCGGCUGGAGUGCAGGAGGGGUAAGCGGAAUUCCUAGUGUAGCGGUGAAAUGCGUAGAUAUUAGGAGGAACACCGGUGGCGAAGGCGGCUUACUGGACUGUAACGGACGUUGAGGCGCGAAAGCGUGGGGAGCAAACAGGAUUAGAUACCCCUGUAGUC